CCAAAACCGAGGCCGCAGCCAUUUGGCUGAUCGAACAUGUUCCAGUAAAAUAAAUAAAUAUCUCGAACAGCAUCUCAUCUCAUCUCACCGAAUGGGCCGCCAGCGCCAUGACCCAUCUAAAGUCUCAUAUGUUACACCACAAUGCGUCUUUGCAAUAUGUACGUUCACAAUACAAAAUGCAAAGCCAUUACAAAAUGUGGAUGCGAACUAGAUUUUCAACAAAUACGUAACAAAGAGGUAUUCGAGCUACUCCAGCACAGCAUCACCAGCUUGACAUUUUGUGAAAGAACCGUUUGAAGAGUUUUCUUCCUUUCGACCACAAUGUAUUGUGAAAUGAAAAAAAAAUUAUAUUUGCUGUGCAGAUCAUAGUCAACUAGUAGAAAAUUGCCAUUAACCAAAUGUUAGCUAGUGUGUGAAAUGAAAAAAAAUACAGUUUUAGUUAUACGAGGGAAUACAGUUCAUUGAAGAUUCAAGCAUCAAAGGCAUGAGUACCUCCAAUUGUUGAACACGAUCUCAUUAUGGCACAUGUGAGUAUAAGGUUACUAAGAGAGCACUGGUAAACAAUCCGGGCAUGGAAAAUAAAGAUGGCUAAAACAGCACACUCCCUAGUUAUUAGAAUGGUAUAAGCAAUAAGUACCUUGGGAUAUCCAUAAAUGUCUACUCAUCAACAGAGGAGUCUUCCUGUACGGAAAUGAACGAGUGUAAUGUAAUCCAAACAAAAAGUUCAAAUGUAAUGGAGAAAAAUGAAAGGCUUUGCGAAAUGAAAACACAUACCGUAUCAGUGCUUGCUUGACAAUCAGCAGUCUGGGCAUUUAGCGCAAGUUCUGAAAAAAAGGAUAAUUAGCUUUGCUCUUAUUUUCAAGGAACAGUUACAUAUCAAAUUAACAUGGUAGAGAAAAAAAACUUUAUGAUUAUUGUGCAACAGAUCAAAAUUGAACGCACCUUGCGCAUGCUUCAUCAAACUUAACAUGAUAAACAUAUUUUAUGGUAAAUUUUAACUCAACUUAUACAAUAUAUCUAAACUCCAAAAAAGCAAAAGAAAGUGAAUCAUCAUCACCAUUCAAGUUGGAAACAAUAUAUACCUGUGCUGUUUUUGUUGAAAUAUUUUGAAAAUGAACUUGGAUAGUAGGCUGUCGAGAACCCAGGCAAACUUGCUGCAGAAAACGUUGAUACUGCUUCCAACCUCUUAGAGUUUAUGUCAACAGCAACCACCCAACCUUUGGUGUCCCCGAACUUAACCUUGCUCAUCAAGUACAGAACAUUGUUACAGUCACCCAAAGUUGGGGUGCCGAUUGGCAUUUUCUUCAAGGAUGGGGUUCCAUUCUCGCAGAACUGAGGCAACAAAUCUGUACGCCCGUGACAAUCUUCAGAGACUGUUAUAUUCUCAAUGUUGACCACAUGGUUUCUUAUCCACUCCCUUGAAUCAAGCCUCCUAGACCCAAUGACAGCCGUCCAUCCAUCGGGUGAGUAGCAGCUGGGAUCUGUGACUGGAAUGUAAUGAUAAUCAUACUCCAUCUCAACGAACGUGAUCAUAUCCUCACAGCCAGUGACAUCUCUGAAAUAUGAUGGCUCACCCUCAUCUUGAAACCCCUCAUUGCUUGGCAUGGGCUUAGGCAUCGGUAUGUAGUGGAGCUUGGGGUUAUCGGAAAGAACAUCGCACACCAGGAUACCCCACCACAGAUCAACCCAACCCAAGAGGGAACCUUUUAGCGGGAUCACCUUGCUAGAAAAGAAAGGGACCUCCAAGGGGCUGCAACGCGAUCCCAACGGCUCCAACAGCUCCAGCGGCAGUAGCCUUGCGGAAUCCAAGUGGCUGCAACGCGAUCCCAACGGCUCCAACGGCUCCAGCGGCAGUAGCCUUGUUUCCCACACCCCAGUCUUGGAAUCGAAGACAGCCAACUUGAACAUGUCCAUGUUUUCCCGGACGAGAGCAGCCACCGCGAAGUGGUCGGCGCCGCAGCACACGAUCCCCGUGUUGCGGAAGCCUGAAAUGUAGGGCUCCGGAUCCGGGAUCCGGACGAGCGAGGGGGUUUCCGAGCCAGCCUUGUAGAUGAAGUAGUCGCUCACGUCGCCGUUGCCAAAGCAGACAUCAAACAGAAUCAGAUCCUCCCGGGAGAUGACCGCGGGAUUGUAGCUAAACUGUUCUUCCCUCCCAGGGCUGUGUACGCAUAGGUGGGAGACGGCAGGCGGGGUGGCGGCAAAGAGGGAGACCUGGAUGGGGUGGCCGUCGCUGGUGUGGCUGUGAGCGACGGUCGCAUUCUUGCGGUCGGAGAUGUAGGCGCGCGUCGCGAGGAGGAUCCAGUCGGGGUAGCGAGGGCCCAUCUCGGGAAGCUCGGGGGCAACGAACUUCAUGGCCGGGGAUGGGCGGCGUUGCAAUUGGAUCGCUCCACUCGCCGGCAGUCCUUAUGUGCUGGGAGCCUGGGAGGAUCGGAGGAACGAAGGAGGAACCCUAAAAAACGCUUAUAUAGUUGUACAGGGUCCACAUGUCAAACAUUACGUAACAGGUUUGCGGGUUUUGCGGGCACGGUAAUUUUUUUGCUCGCGGGUACAAACUCAAACCCCCACUCUUACCUGUAGCCAUAAAAUAGAACCCGUAUCCUUGCCCUACAGGGUUUUUGCUCGCGGGCACGCUGGUAAUUUGUGCCUGUUGACAUCCAUAGCUGUCCCAACUCCGUAGAUGGUUUUGCUUCUCUCCUUUUCUUUUCCCUUUCUUUCUGAGCUGUGGGAUGGUUGGUUUUCUAAAAUUGUUCGUCUUCGAUUCCGAUCUCGAAACCCUGCAACCUUAGCAAUUCAUUUUACUCUGUGGGCCUUGCAGACCUUCUAUGCGUGGGCUACCUUUUUCUUCUACCUAGAUUCUUUUUCAACCAUAUUAUUUAGUACCACAUUCAAAUAUGCAUAGCCAGUUUUAAUAUCGUCUCAAAAUUAACGAGAUUGAACAUGAUAUUUACUAUAAAUUUCUUAAACCAAUGGCAUUGAAGCCCUGCAACUGUUACAUAACAUGUCCAUCUCAUAAAAAUAAUGAUGAAGAGAUUACUUCUCCAACGAUUUGUCUUAUAACACAUUGCUCAAAGCAUAUUAGAUCUCACAUUCAUAAAGUAAGGAGCUCAUUUUCCCUCUGUAAGCUAGCUCCCGAAGAAGAGAAAGUACACUUUCUCCUGAUCUUCUCUCUUCCAUGUGAGUAAAAGAAUGAGUACCUCUACGUGAUCUUCCAUGUGAGCAAAAUGAUGAGCUGGACUACUAUACUUCUAUGUCCUAAAAAAAAGACUACCAUACUCUAUAAACUAGCUGAGUUCUUGAUAAUGGCUGAGGUGUCCCUUCGUCCUUCAGGCUUAACCAAAUCGCGGAUGGGCUAGCCGAGACGGUCACCAAUUCUCCUUGUGGAGCCGUAAUUUAAGCACGGGAAGCCGAGCUUCAGAGACUCAAGGGUCGUUAGUCACACCAACUGCAUACCGAAGCACGCCAUACAAGACUCGGUACCGACUCAGCCAACCACAGAUCCUUAAGUCAACGGCGGGAGCGUAGGAAUGCGCAUUAACAAGUGACUAGUAAGCAAUGCAAUGCAUGGCAAAAACUAGCAGUGGAUAAAGAUGAAGCUCGUCUACCGGCUACUUGACAUUUGUCCGCAAGAGACUUCAUAGUAGCUGCACAGCCUCCGCUAUCUCAUACAGUUACAUAACCAUAGUGCAACUUGCAUUGUAGCAAGAAUCCUGGGCAGUUCGGAAGGUCACCAGCCUUGGAGACUAAAUCCCAGAAGUGACUUGGGAGCUCGGAACUCAAAAUGGCGCCAGGGAGCUCAGCACACAGCACGCAAUCCUCAGAAUCCUCAGAGACGCGCUUCAGUCCGCAGAGAUCCUAACUGUACAAAAAUGAUGCCAGCCAUGUGGCAAGGUUUGGGUAUUACCCGGCAAUAGGGAGCUCAGUAAAAGAGCAAGCAAUUCUCUCGACGCACUUCAGUCCGCAGAGUGCAGAGAUCCUAAAUAUACAAAAGUGAUGCCAGUCACCUUGCUUAAGUCAAGUUUGGGUAUUACUCGGGAAUCAUGAGGUAGCUGGUUAGGUUGGUUGUUGGUUAAGCAUCCUGGUCACUUUCCAAUGGCUCUGGGUCAAGUAGUCCUGUAUUUCUUGGAGCAAGCCAAAGAAAUGCACACCCGUUAAUAGAGUUCCUUCCCAUAUAAUAACAAAGUAAAAGAAAUAGCUCUGCAUGCAAGGAAAAAGAUAAAAAAAAGGACACAUACAGCCCCUUUAUAUCAAAUCGAUCAAUAAAUCGCUUCAACAUCUCCACCAAAUACUUAUCAAAGUGAUAAGCCAGAAAGUAAUCAAUUUCUUCCAGUGUGAUAAUUGUGGGGUUUCCAUUGACAUCUUGCUCAAUGCAUGAAAUUGUAUGAAUAGAAAUACAAGAUUGAAUGGGGAUGCAUUGUUAUUUGUUGUACAAAAAGAAAUCAACCUCAGUAACAUUUUACAAACAGAAUGUCUACCUAACAAAGAAAUUGUCUUUAACUUGGUUCGAAACCCACAACCUCCAUGCCUUCUAUUAAACCUUUUUUUCCUCAUUAAAACAGUAAUACGCACUUCAAACAGGUGAAAUUACUUUCUAUGGCUUUUGCAUUCGUGGUAUAGCAAAAGAAAUAGGAUGCAUCGAUGAACAAACCCAUCAACACAGGAUGCAAAGGUGACUCGAUCACUGAGACUUAGUGCCUUGUACACUCUCAUUAGGUUGAAAAUGAGAUUAGACCGGCUCAUUGAUGAAAGAAAAGCCAUGUGUUUGCAGAUGAACAUGGUGAAUUUAUCCAUUGACUGUGUAUUUGCAGCAACAUCAGAAGGGAUGUUGCGCAAGGACUUGCAAAGGUUUGUAAAGAAUGGUGGGUCGUUCUGGUUGGUACUGGUGGUCAGCGUGUAUUGUUGUAGAAGGAUACCAGCGAGGCGUUUGAAAUCUUGGCUCAUGGCAUCAUGAUUCAGACCGGGAGAAGGUUCCUUAAGAAUGUGGUAUUCGUAACUCCCAUUGACCCUUAACACCACCAUGUCAGACGCCUGGAAAUUGCCAGCCCAGGUGAGCCCACUCUUGUGCCUUGUCACCACAUAGUCAAUGUAACCUUGGAAAAUGUUACUUCCCUCUGUUGUACACACGGGUGUGUCAACAUUGUCGUGAAGCUUAAAAGCAACAACAGGUGGGUUGCUCACCAAAAACUCCAAUAGCAUCUCUUUCCUGAAAUUAUUAUUAACAGUUUAAAUACUCACAUAUUGAGGGAACAGUAGACACAUUUUCAUUGAGGGAAAAAAAAUUUACCUUUCAAAGACCGGGAAGUUCAAACAGUUGACAGUAAUUUCUAUUCCAUGACAGUUACUCCACGAAGGUAACUGUCAGUAGGGAUAAACCUUCUAAAUGCAUUGACAAUGGAGUUUUUUGUCCUGACAAACAAAAAGAAAAGGAUAUUUAGCGACUCAAAACUCUUGAGAGACAACAGCAAAGUUAAGUUUUGGACGCAACAUAAAACAAAGAUGUCAGUUGUUUUUGCUGUUUAAAUGUGCUAUGCCUUUAUGAAGCCCCAGAUAAAGCAUGUUGUGUCAUAUAAACCCAUAUAAGCAUACUGAACGGUUUCAUUUUGCCCAGCCAUACAUAAAAUCUACAUAAAAGAAUGCUGAGGUACGUAUCUUUAACAACAAAGACAUGAUAUCAUUAUCAAUCCAGCAUUCAACUAUUUUCUGGGGGUACAAUUUGACUAUUGAUCAUAGCAUAACUGUAAACAAUAUAUAGCAUAAAUACUUUAUGAGACUAAUGCUAAUGUUGGGGCAAAGUCCAACAAUUUGGCAGAUAUACAUGGGUUUACUGAAACGGCAUGCUUCGUAUGAAGAAUUUUUAAAACCAGGACAAGUUGCAAUUCACUCUAAAACAGAAAAUCAGGAAAUAACAUAAAAACAACAAGUACAUUGUUAAUUAGCAUAAUGUUGUGGCUCCAAGUUGCAAUUCACUCUAAAAACAGAAAAUCAGGAAAUAGCAUAAAAGCAACAAAUACUUUGUUAAUUAGCAUAAUGUUGUGGCUCCAAGGACAAAGGGUAAGAUACCUAUCAGGUUCCGCUAUCAAGGCAUAUGCUAGCUGGGGGGUGUAUUUCUUGAUGUGUAAAUAAUCAACCCUGAGCUCCGGAGUCUUCCGGAGAUCCAUCGAUGCGAGCUCAGCCUUGUAGAACUUCAAUUCAUCCUUCUCCUCCAGGUUCCGCUAUCAAGGCAUAUGCUAGCUGGGGGGUGUAUUUCUUGAUGUGUAAAUAAUCAACCCUGAGCUCCGGAGUCUUCCGGAGAUCCAUCGAUGCGAGCUCAGCCUUGUAGAACUUCAAUUCAUCCUUCUCCUCCUUGAAACUAAUCCAGCAGCAUUACAGGUUAGGAUUAACAGAAUCCCAAGAAUAGAAUGUGCGCGCCGGAAGUUUAAUAAUCAUGAAGCAAAAGAAGGUUGUGAAGUGAAUUCCGAGGGGAGAAAAUGCAUUUUUUUCACCGAUGAAACAUACCUAUCGAAAAAGGCUAAAAAAAGGUCAUCCCUGCGAUCUAUUUGAUCCACAUUAGCGCCAGCCGCACCAGACAACGAUUCCUCCCCGCUGCCAAAGCCGAGGCCGCAGCCACUUGGCUAAUCUAACGUGUUCCAGUAAAAUAAAUAAAUAUGUCGAACAACAUCUCAUCUCAUCUCACCGAAUGGGCAGCCAGCGCCAUGACCCAUCUAAAGUCUCAUAUGUUACACCAAAAUGCGUCUUUGCAAUAUGUACGUUCACAAUACAAAAUGCAAAGCCAUUACAAAAUGUGGAUGCGAACUAGAUUUUCAACAAAUACGUAACAAAGAGAUAUUCGAGCUACUCCAGCACAGCAUCACUAGCUUGACAUUUUGUGAAAGAACCGUUUGAAGAGUUUUCUUCCUUUCGACCACAAUGUAGUCCCCUUUGCACAAUUCAUGUCUUGGAAGUUGGAACAGCAGUCGGGCUCACAUAUCUGAGACGGACCAAAGAUAAGCCUCUUGCUCCAU
rnacentral:lncRNA from 1 species